rnacentral:rRNA from 1 species
UACGGAGGGUGCAAGCGUUAUCCGGAUUCACUGGGUUUAAAGGGUGCGUAGGUGGGCAAGUAAGUCAGUGGUGAAAUCUCCGGGCUUAACCCGGAAACUGCCAUUGAUACUAUUUGUCUUGAAUACUGUGGAGGUCAGCGGAAUAUGUCAUGUAGCGGUGAAAUGCUUAGAUAUGACAUAGAACACCAAUUGCGAAGGCAGCUGGCUACACAAAUAUUGAUACUGAGGCACGAAAGCGUGGGGAUCAAACAGG